rnacentral:rRNA from 1 species
UACAGAGGGCUCAAGCGUUGUUCGGAAUUACUGGGCGUAAAGGGCUUGUAGGUGGCUUGUUAAGUCAGACGUGAAAUCCCUCAGCUUAACUGGGGAACUGCGUCUGAGACUGGUGAGCUUGAGUGCAGGAGAGGAACGCGGAAUUCCAGGUGUAGCGGUGAAAUGCGUAGAUAUCUGGAGGAACACCGGUGGCGAAGGCGGCGUUCUGGACUGCAACUGACACUGAUGAACGAAAGCCAGGGGAGCAAACGGG